rnacentral:rRNA from 1 species
GGGUCCAGUAGUAAGGUGACGCCUGCCCAGUGAGGCAUCAACCCUUAAACGGCCGCGCAUAAAAACGUGCAAAGGUAGCAAAAUCAUUUGUCCUCUAAAUAGGGACCAGUAUGAACGGCAACAUGAGAAAGAAACUGUCUCUUUAGGCUAGCCAAUGAAUCUGACCUGCCUGUACAAAUGCAGGCAUAAAAAAACAAGACAAAAAGACCCUGUGAAGCUUUAAAUGUAGAUCAAUAAACUGAUCAGCACAUUUUUGGUUGGGGCAACCAAAGAGAAAUAUAAACCUCACAACCAGUCAUAAGGCCAACAAGCCAACUGACAAAACAACAUAGACCCAGUAUUACUGAUCAAAGAACCAAGUUACUCCAGGGAUAACAGCGCUACAUUCUUGAAGAGUCCAUAUCAACAAGAAUACCUACGACCUCGAUGUUGGAUUAGGGUACCCAGAUGGCGCAAAAGUUAUCAACGGUUCGUUUGUUCAACGAUUAAAACCCCGCGUGAUCUGAGUUCAAAACCGGAAACGAUCGUCCUGUUUUAAAAAAAAGGUGGUCUGAAUUCCAACCCGGAGAUCUUCUUGUUAUAAAAAAAAGUGGUUUGUGUUUAUCACCCGGGGUUUCUUUUUUUUUAAAAAGGGGUGUGUGGGGUUUUCAGCGGGGGGUUUUUUUUUUUAUAACCGAGGAGGCUGUCGCCAA